UAAUAAAAUGCUACAACCCGACUGGGGGAUGGCUCGGCUCGAGAGCCGAAGAAGGUCGUGACAAGCUGCGAUAAGUUGCGGGGAGAGGCAUGAAUCUCUUGGAUCCGCAAAUUGCUGAAUGGGACCUCCUGGCACUCUGUGCCAUUCCUAAAUGGAAAGGGAACCUCCUGAACUGAAGCAUCUCAGUAGGGAGAGGAAAAGAAAUCAAACGAGAUACCGCUAGUAGUGGCGAAUGAAAACGGUAUAGGACAAACCGAAUCUUUAUGAGAAAUCAUGAAGAGAUGUGGGGUAUGGACCAUCUGUAGUCUAAGUCAUGGAAGUAGAAGUCGCCUGGAACGGCGCACCAUAGAGGGUGAAAGACCCGUAUAUGUACAUGAUAUGACCAUGUGAUGAAUCCUGAGUAUCGUGCGUUGGAUAUCGCGCGUGAAUAUGGGAGGCAUAAACUUCCAAUCCUAAAUACUACUCGAGACCGAUAGUUGACAAGUAGCGUGAGCGAAAGCUGAAAAGUAUCCUUAGCGGGAUGUGAAAAGAACCUGAAACCAGUCGGGAACAAGCUGAAUAGGCGUGAAAGCGAAGAUAUGAGCAGCGUCUAUUCGUGCGUUUCGAAUAAUGCCCCUGGGAGUUCUGAUUAAUGGCGAGGUUAAGGAGUUAAACUCCGAAGCCGAAGGGAAACCGAAAGGUCCGCAGCCGCUUAGGCGGUGAGGGACUGGGUGUGCUCGCCCGGAGUCAUUAGUGGGAGACCUGAAGCCUAUCGAUCUAUGCCUGGCCAGAUUGAAGCCCGAUGAAAGUUGGGUGGAGGAUCCAACCGUUGCUGAUGUGCAAAUCGCUCGGAUGAGCUGGGUAUAGGGGUGAAAGUCCAAUCGAGAUGGGCAAUAGCAGGUUCCGCGCGAGACUACUCGCAGGUAGAUCUUCGCAGAGAUAGAUUACGAUGUAGAGCACUGAUUGGGUAUUUAGGGGGAGCGAUCCCUCGGUACGCUGUCAAACUCCGAAGUUGUAAUCGUCGUAGAAGCGAGGAGUGAGCCACGGUGGGUAAGCUACCGUGACGAAAGGUGAAGAAACCAGCUCAGUGUUAAGGUCCCAAAAUUACAGUUAAGUGUUAAUUACAAACGGAGUCCGUGGUCGAAGACAACUAGAAGGUGGGCUUAGAGGCAGCCAUCCUUGAAAGAGUUCGUAACAGAUCACUAGUCAAGCUUGCGGGCCCGAAAAAUGGACGGGACUAAAACUGUAUACCGAUACACUGAUCCUUCGAAAGA
rnacentral:rRNA from 1 species